AAAGCAGGUUCGCGUAUUCUGCAGUUGCCUCUAAAAGUGCUCCAACUUGGCGGCGUUUUUUAUUCACUCAUUUUAAGAAAUUGAAGCCAGAUUGGAAAAGGUGUGUGAGACUCCCUUAGGAGCUAUGGCUUUAUUUAUUUUUUUUAUUUUUAUUUUUUAUUUUUUACAAAAUCUCUGAUUUCAGUUAGGCUUGUGAUUCCUUAACUGAAGAAGAAUUGUGGGUUUGAAAUAACUCUUGCAGUUUUCUUCUGAAAAGUGAAGCAUCUGUUUUCAUCACAGCGUUCCCACAAAAUUGUCUGCAGGUCACUCCCAAAUGGUUAAUAUUUCAUAUACUAAAACGUACUGUGAUCUGUUCGAAACCACAUAUAACCAGGAACACUUAUGGUACAUGUAAUAGGACAGGCACUCUGUUAGGGCAGUUGCAGCGAGAGCAAGGCAGUCAGUGCCGCUGGUGGCUCCAGGCACAGGGGCUCGCCAGCAGCUGUGGAGCCUGCGAGCUCCACUCUGUUGUUUGACACCGGUGUCCGCAGGGGCCCAGCUUUCCUGUGUGCCUGGGACAUGCUGUAUGGCUGGCUGUGUAACUUCUGCAUCUUGUCCUCCGGCCUCUCUCACGAUUAUGGCCAUAACUGACGUGCAGGGAUAUAACAAGGAUUGCCAUAUGGCUUGAGGAUUAAGAAAACUAUUGGAAAGACAAUACUGCCUCCUUUGGGAAGAUUUUCCAAAAGAUAAGCUCCAUGAAGGUAGAAGAAUGGACCAGCUUUCUGAAUAGAGUUACAGCAAGGAGAGGCCUCUUCUGCAAUCCCAAGUCAAUUUAUCAGGCCACCAGGAAAGUCAGUCUUUUCCAAAUCCACCACUACUUCUAGGAGCAGUGCCCCUGGGUAGAACAGGAGUCUAGGUUUUAUCAUGUGAUUUGAUUUGUGGAGACCCAGAUUCAUGAUUUAUUAGGUCAUCAGGAAAAGCAAUAGACCUGUGAUGCUGAUGAUGUUGUCAAGAAUGUAGGCUUGGAUGUACAUUUGUACGAAGCAAGUUCCCUUCCUGUCUUUCCCUGUUUCUGCUCUAUCCAGAUUCCCAUCCAGUUCAUUCCUAUGGCAGUUGUACUGUGAAGCCGAUUCUGGAACCUUACCACACACCUCUGGUUCCUUUGGUUACAAUGUCAUUUUAAUACAAAUUGCUAAAACAACAUUAGUUCUUAAGAAAACAUUUUAAUUGUUUUUAUAGCUAUAAUUUUAUUUAAUCUUUACACGUUAUUUAAAGCAGGACUAGGGACCAACAGUGCCAUUUUACAAGGGUACCAGUGACACUGAAAAGUUAAGAAAUUUGAUCAUAGUAAGUACUUGGUAAAGUUGGAUAAACCCCCACUAUCCUGACUCACAGCCCAGCAUUUUUUCCAUUAUGCUAACCCUUAUUAUUAUUAGUGGUUUUUUUUUAAAUUGAUGUAUAAUUGACAUAUAACAUUAUGUUAGUUUCAGCUGUACAAUAUGAUCCAAUAUUUGUGCAUAUUACAAAAUGAUCAACACAAUGAGUCUAGUUAACAUCCAUCACCAUACAUAGUCACAAAAUUUUGUUUUUCUUGUGAAGAGGACUUUUUAAGAUCUAGAAAAAUUAUUAAUUAUUAAGAUUAGGUUUGGUUGCAAUUGAUGGGAAAACAAAACAAUCGUGGUUUAAACAAGAUAGAAUUUUAUUUAUCUUGCAAUUUGUCCAAAACUAGUAUGAUGCCUCCAUGGUCAUCAGAGAGCCAAGAUCCUGGGUAAUUGCUUUGACAUUCCCAAUAUCUGGCUUCUUCAUCUUUUCAAGAUUGUUGCUCAAGUUUCAGCCAUGAGGUCCACAGUCUAUCCAUCUAAAUAAGGAUAGGGACAAAACAUGUUUCUCUUCGAAGACAUUUUCUAGAAGACAUAAGGACACUUUUGCUAAACCCCAUUGGCCAGAAUUGAAUCACAUGACCUCAGUAAGCUGCAAGGGAGGCUGGGAAGAAUAACUUUAUGCUGGGUGGCCUUAAUAAACUUAUGAGUUCUAUUAUUAAGGAAGAAAGAGACAAGGGAGAUUGAGGUGACAGCUAGCAGUUCCUACCACAACUUUGCAUUUUACAUUUUGCCAGAUGUAUGUUUUCCUUAGAUUACUUUUUUAUUUAUAUCUGCUUGUUUAUGAAAUACUAUUAGGAUUUUAAGUCUCUUCUUAAAUCUACGAAUGUCAUAAAUGUCAAUAAUAAAAAAUUAUUUAAAAAUUUUAU